AAAAUCCCGUCGAAUUUUGAAAUCGUGAGGGUUCAAGUCCCUCUAUCCCCA
rnacentral:tRNA from 1 species